AGCGAACGCUGGCGGCAGGCUUAACACAUGCAAGUCGAGCGGGCAUCCUUGUGGUGUCAGCGGCAGACGGGUGAGUAACGCGUGGGAACGUGCCCUUCGGUUCGGAAUAACUCAGGGAAACUUGAGCUAAUACCGGAUACGUGCGAGAGCAGAAAGGUUUAUCUGCCGAAGGAUCGGCCCGCGUCUGAUUAGCUAGUUGGUGAGGUUACGGCUCACCAAGGCGACGAUCAGUAGCUGGUCUGAGAGGAUGAUCAGACACACUGGGACUGAGACACGGCCCAGACUCCUACGGGAGGCAGCAGUGGGGAAUAUUGGACAAUGGGGGCAACCCUGAUCCAGCCAUGCCGCGUGAGUGAUGACGGCCUUAGGGUUGUAAAGCUCUUUUCUCCGGGACGAUAAUGACGGUACCGGAGGAAUAAGCCCCGGCUAACUUCGUG
rnacentral:rRNA from 1 species